rnacentral:rRNA from 1 species
UACGAACUGUGCAAACGUUAUUCGGAAUCACUGGGCUUAAAGGGUGCGUAGGCGGCUCGCUAGGUAGGGUGUGAAAGCCCCCGGCUCAACCGGGGAAUUGCGCCCUAAACCGGCGGGCUGGAGUGAGAUAGGGGUGUGUGGAACUUCCGGUGGAGCGGUGAAAUGUGUUGAUAUCGGAAGGAACGCCGGUGGCGAAAGCGACACACUGGGUCUCAACUGACGCUGAGGCACGAAAGCCAGGGGAGCAAACGGG